GACGUAGGGCGCGAGCGUUUGUCCGGAUUUAUUGGGCGUAAAGAGCUCGUAGGCGGCUUGUUGCGUCAGCUGUGAAAAACCCGCAGCUCAACUGUGGGCUUGCAGCUGAUACGGGCAGGCUUGAGUUCGGUAGGGGAGACUGGAAUUUCUGGUGUAGCGGUGAAAUGCGUAGAUAUCGUUUGGAACGCCGAUGGUGAAAACAGGUUGCUGGGGCUGUGCUGACGCUGAGACACGAAAGCCAGGGGAGCGAACGGG
rnacentral:rRNA from 1 species